AUUAUAAAUGCAGUUCUUUCUAUCUGUAAAAUUAACAGUGUACUAUAGACAGUAAAUAGUUGGUGUUUGAGGCUGUACAAUUUUCAGUGACUAAAAACCUCCAAUUUCUCUCAAUAUCGGAGUGACAAUUGUCACCACUGGACUGACGGCUUUCAAAACAACAUCAGGUGAUGGUUUAUCUGUUUGCCUAAGCCUUCUAUUGAGUCAACUGAAGUGUGAUUAAUGCCAAGAGCCCUGUAUCACCUGGUGCUUCUCACACUCAAUCAGGUGCCUUUUGUGACUUUAUGGGCAACCUGUUGUCUGUGAUUUUAAAAUGUGAUCAUCGUCUUUCACACCUCAGAAGUUUUCAAGAGCUUGUAACUGGACUGAUUGUAAGUUUGGACUGAUCAAAUGGAUGGCGAGCUUGUGUGCUUUGCUCUGUUUGGCUCUGUCAUAUGGCUCGUGGUCGCAUUCUAUCUUACUAUUUGUGCAUUACUUUUGUACUCCAUCUGCUGUAAGACCAAAAACAAAGACCGUGAUAUGGAGAGGCAGGCCGUGUCUCCUGCAGAACUGCUGAACAGACAAUGAGACCAAAAAGAAACAGAAUGGUCUUUUCUAUAUUCACUAACUGCAGACAUUGUGUUUCCACCUACAGUAGGCUGCUCUUUUUUGUUGCCUGAAGAUAAAUGCUAAUGAGUGUUAUAAAUUUGGAUAUGCCUAAAGAACAGAUCACUGACAACCUAGACACAAUCAUCAAGGAUGUAUGCUCACACAGGCCUUUGAACUUGAGCCCAUUUAUUGAGAGAGCAAUCAUUUCGAGUACAAAAAGCGAAGCAUUACAUUUCAAGAUUGAACAGUUUCUUCCAAAAAUUGAAGAGGUGGACACGAAAUAAGGACAGGGCUGAAAUCAUGCUUUUAUUUAUUUUUUUGUUACUAUUAUCUGUAAAAAAUACUGUCAUAACAUAAUAAAAUGUAUCAGUGUAUCCAUCUAUGCUGUUUCUUUUGAAUACUUUUAAAGGAUGUUAUAAAAAGGGAAGGGAAACAAACUAUGAUUGUGUAAGAGUGUCACCAUGUGUUAAACAUUUUAACAUAUAUCAUUUGUUGUAUUGUGAUUUAUUAACACGUCAUUUGAUGGUCCUG